rnacentral:hammerhead_ribozyme from 1 species
AUCCGGGUGAAGAGUCCCAAAUAUGACGAAAUGCGCAUCCUGGAU